CGGACAUAUGACUUGGUUGAUGUGACAUUAUUGGAAUUGGAUAUCGAGUAGUUUCAGCCAGUGUAACAUCUGCUUCAAUCAUCAAUUCAUCACCUAAACACAAAACCAGAAGUUAAAGACUGGGUUGACUUUUUGGUGCUGAUAAAGCUAUUCUAAUGAGGAUAAUCUAUAGACAUUCUAUUGCUGGCGACUAACAACGAUUUAUUAUACUUACCCAUUAAUGCUUGAUUAAGAAGUGAUCGACUAUUAGCUGCAUGAGCCCAAUUAAGUCGUAAUCCGUCACCAGCUAAACCAGGAAAAUAAUCGAGAAGAUUUGGUGGUGAAAGUGAUGCUUGUCUGGCUUGAUAGCCUGACGAUGGUGAGCUUGGUUGUUGGGGUGAGGCUGGAAACAAUGGAGUCCGACCAAAGACAGGUUGAACUGUCGCUGGACACUGAAAUCCGAUCAUAAUUAGUAGAUGAUGAUUGAAACGUUUAUCGUAGAUAUGUUGAUGGUUAACAAAGUCACAGAAGUCACACCACAAAUGGAAAUCAAAAACAACAAAAAAAGCAAAUCAAUAUUUCAAGUGAAUAAAAUGAUGAUGGAUAACAAAGCUGUUAAUGGUACCAAAGCGUCAAUGGCAAUGCCAAGUAAUCGAAAGAUUAAUACAAAUAAAAGUGACGAUGAUUAAGGUGAUGAUGAAAAUGAGGAGAAAGAAAAAGAAGAAGAUAAUGAUGAAUGAUGGUCAAGUAUAGGUGAGUGAGUGAGUAAAUGAGGGAAAGUUUGAGAAAAUCUUUAGCCUCAACUUGUAAGGUAUCAAGCGCAAGUGAAAUUAAAGAUUAAAAAAGAUGAUGAUGGUGAAGAUAAAUGAGAGAGAAAGUUUACUUUAAAACCACAAACAUUUCUUUCUCUCUCUCGCUUCAUCUUCCCCCGUCUUUCUAUUAUUACCACAAAAUACAGUUACAUUCAAUUCUCACUCUUUUUUCAUUAUUUUCAUAAUGAAAAACUCAGUCAUUGGUUUAUCAGGUAAAACCAUGAUAGAGAAAGUUUUUGAAAGGAGGAGAGUGAGAGCAAUAAGAGAGUCUUCGAAACCUGCAAAACAACUCUCAUCUACUCCAUCAUCAUCACCUGUAAAUAGAAAGAAACUUGAAUCUAAUAAUACUAACUCUUAUUAAUAUAAUCAUUAUCUGAAUUGUUGUUAAAGAACGAAUUUCAAGUAUAUUGAGAGCCAAAUAAUAGGUUUGAUUGGAUGAUAAUUAAGUUGGCUAAAGGGUUUUAAUCUACAAUUGCAUGUUUAUUUAAUUUACAUUAAUAUUAACAUUAACUUUGAAAGUGCUUCAACUCAUUUCAAUUUGCGCGGUUAAAAAUUUCUUGGUUCAAGCUGAUUGUCUAUUAAUAAUUUUAGCCUUUUUCAUGUUUCUUGUUCGAUGUGUUCAACUUUUAUUUCAAUUAUUUUUUGUUACAUCUUAUUUUAAUUGUAUUAUAUCGUUUCUAUUAACCUUUCUAUUAACAUCUAAUCACCUGUCAAUGCUGUACAUUAUCUUGGACCAUUAAUGUACGUGUUAGUAUAAUAGUUUAGCUAAAAACUGCUACAAUGUAUUGCUUAACAUGCUUUUAAUAAUAUCUGUUAACCCUUCUCUUAUUUAUAAUAUUGUUUGAUUGUUGUAAUUACCAAAUUUUUAGCCUAGAAACAAUUGACACAGUAUUCAGUACCCUGAUGGAACAAAUAUCAACAUUUCACUUCCUGGUUAUUGAGUUAAUUUGUGCAUAAACAGUUAUUUUUACAUUUUCAACUUGUGGCAAUAAAAAUGUUAACUUGACCAUGUUAAGUGAAAAACAGUAGCUAUGGUUAGCAACUAAUUUAAAAUUUAAACACAUGGAAAUGGAAAGGAUUGAAAUGAAACGAUCAAAAUCAACACUGCUGAUGUUUACAGACGACACUUGAUAUUUGGAGUUGCUGCAAGGCUUACUCUUUGGGUUAACCUUUGUUGGUAACAAUAGGUUUGAUUAAUCAAGGUUGACAAAGCUGUGAAUACAAAUUUUUAGGAUGAACACAAGUUUAAAAUUGUUGUCCAAUGGAUGGUUAAUGACACAUGGUAACUAAUAACAUUGAUGCAUUCACUCACACACAAAAUAGUUAACAUCAAUUAGCAAUUUAAAAAAGAUGAUGAAGGUUGUGGUGGUGGUAACAGCGGUGAUAGCAAGGCGAUGACGAUAUGCACUGAACACAAAGAGUUAUAUAAUAGUCAAGGAUUUUACCCACAAAAUAGCCAAUUUUUAGACUUGGAUGCAUUCAAGCAAAUGUCAUACAUUAUUGACCUUAAUCACAAUCUUACAGCUUUAAUCAAUUGACUUUGGCCUUUACGCUUCUAGAAAAACCUCGAACCUGAAAAUUUCCAAGAAUUGUUUGAAUAGGAAUAUUAUUGAAAUUUCUUGGAAUCCAAAUCAUAAAUUAACACAAACAAAUGGUGUAAAGCUAAAUCAAUUGUUAAAUCUUAUUCCUGCCAUUUAACUUUCCUUGGUAACCUUGCCUUAAGGUCAACUAAAAAUGUAUAACUUUUCCCAAUUGUUAAGGUCUUGCAAAACAUUGAAGAGACACCAUCUUGUAAUACAAUUUACUGUUAAUAUUUGGUUAAUCAAUUCAUGAUGAUGGUGGUGGUGAGAAUUAGAAACGUUUAUUCUUAUCCUGAUUGAAAUGAUUUACAAUUCUAAUUGUUUGGCCACAUUCAAUGCAAAGACUUACAAAUCGGGUUUAAUCAGAUCAUUAUCAUUUAAUAGUGUCUUCAUCGCUUCUUCAAUUGGUUAGUUGAAUUGUGACAAUUGACGAUUCGCUUUCAUUUCAAAAUUACAUCACAAUUACAGAUCGUGUUUGUAUCAACUCUAAUCUGACAAGUUAAAAGGGACAAUUGUCAUCAUUACACACAUUGGAAAGAGCAACAAUUUAUCAGAAAGUAAAAAAAGCGUUUGAUGAAAUGAAGAGGAAAGCCAAGUUCAUGUUUACUUCCGUGAUCAUGUUUAACUGAUAUCCAGUUGUUUACUAAUAAUUUAUUAAUGAUAAAUAAUGUAACCUUGGUGACAGCAUUUUCAGAUGAAAUAUCAGGUAAAAAAAGAAUGGGAAAAACAAAUGAAUAAACAAGUAAACAAGGAAAUAAUAAUAACGAUUGCAAAUGAUAAAACUUAAAAUUAGCAUAAACUCGAAAUGUGAAGUUGCCAGUGAUCAAUGAAAUUGGUACUCAAGACAAACAAUAACCACAUUUUAAAAGCUAAAUUGAAUCAAAAAGACGCAAUAAUUGAAAAAUUACUCAUAAAUUGAAUCAAUCUUCAAUCUUUUUGCAUCAAAGUUUUAAUGUAAAACAUUUGUAACAUUUCAUCUGAUUCAUUGAGAUGCUAAAGUAAACCGUUUUUGUUUUCAAACAAUUGACUAAAUUUUAUUUGAUUGAAUGUUAAUGUUGAAAGGCUAAUAAUUAAUACACACUUUACACUUUGAAUAUAACAAAUAAUGAUUUGAGAAAAUUAA